rnacentral:rRNA from 1 species
AAAAGUUGGGGAUCGAAAGACCUUGCGCUUUGGGAGCGGCCGAUGUCUGAUUAGCUAGUUGGUGGGGUAAAGGCCUACCAAGGCGACGAUCAGUAGUUGGUCUGAGAGGACGACCAGCCACACUGGGACUGAGACACGGCCCAGACUCCUACGGGAGGCAGCAGUGGGGAAUUUUGGACAAUGGGCGCAAGCCUGAUCCAGCAAUGCCGCGUGAGUGAAGAAGGCCUUCGGGUUGUAAAGCUCUUUCAGUCGAGAAGAAAAAGCUGCAGUGAAUAACUGUAGUUCAUGACGGUAUCGACAGAAGAAGCACCGGCUAACUACGUGCCAGCAGCCGCGGUAAUACGUAGGGUGCGAGCGUUAAUCGGAAUUACUGGGCGUAAAGGGUGCGCAGGCGGCUUUGUAAGUCAGAUGUGAAAUCCCCGGGCUUAACCUGGGAAUUGCGUUUGAAACUACAAAGCUAGA